AAAUUCUAUAAUUUUUGGAUAUCAUUUACCAAGUGAUCAAAGAGUCACAAGAAUGACUAUUUUAAUGUCCGAUGUGAUAUGUUUGUAAUUUUAACAAUGUCGAACAAUCUAAAUUAAAUAAAAUUUUAAUAAAAUGUUUUACUUACCAUCAAAAGUAAGAUUAAUAUUUUCAAUUUUGAAAUUUAAGUUUUUUAUCAUUAUUUUUUAUAAAAUUUUUAUUUUCAGCCGUUCAUUGUAAGAUUACUCGUUUAUUAGUCAAAUGAAAUUAAAAAAAUUAUGAAAUUUGAUUUUCUUGAUAGUUGCAACACAGUAGAUCACAUUUAAUAGAAUCGUUCGCCGAAUCGGAUGUCUUAUUAUUGAAAAUAAUUUAUAUACACUGAGACUUCCGUACUUUCGAAAGUAGAUGAAGCUCACUUUAUCUCUCUCCAUAUAUAUAUAUAGGCUAGCGCUACUAUACUCUUAUGAGUAUAGGCUCCCUUGUAUUUAUAAAUUUUUAACCGUUGAUUGAUGGGAUGUAUGGUUAGGACGAUGAUGGUCCCCGCUUAAAAUAAUAGUGGUCCCCUAGGGUUGAGUGAGUAGUUGGUUGAAUAGUAUGAUCUAACGGAUGGAAAUGAUCAGUGGAAUAAAUUUAAGGGCCAAAAACUUAUGAGUAUAAAAGAGUCAAUACUCAUAAAAGUAUAGUAGCCGGACUAUAUAUAUAUAUAUAUAUAUAGUAAGUUAGUAAGUCUCCCGUACUUUCGAAAGUACAGAGACCUCCGUGCUUGUAAGUUGUUUUUGAUAAUAGAAAAUCCGAUUUGACGAUCGGCUCCGUUAAAUAUAAUCUACUCUAUUGGAAUUAUUUAGAAACCAAAUUUUAUAAUUUUUUGACAUCAUUUACCAAGCGAUCAAAAGGUCUCAAAAAUGACUAUUUUAACGGCCGAUGUGGCACAUUUUUAAGUUCAACGGUGUAGAAGUAUCCAAAUUAAAUGAAAAUUUAACAGAAAAUUCUACUUAAUAUCAAUAGCAAGACCAAUACUUUCGAUUUGAAAUUUGAGUCUCUGACCACUGUUUUUUAUGAAAUUUUUAUUUUCAACCAUUCAUUUUGAGGCGACUCGUUUACUUAACAUUU
rnacentral:lncRNA from 1 species